rnacentral:misc_RNA from 1 species
GAUGAAGAACGUAGCGAAAUGCGAUAAGUAAUGCGAAUUGCAGAAUUUCCGUGAGUCAUCGAAUCUUUGAACGCACAUUGCGCCCAUUGGUAUUCCGAGGGGCAUGCCUGUUCGAGCGUCAUUAUAACCCUCAAGCUCAGCUUGGUGUUGGGGCCUGCUGCACUGGCAGCCCUUAAAAUCAGUGGCGGCGCCAUCUGGCUCUAAGCGUAGUAAUUCUUCUCGCUAUGGAGUCCUGGUGGAUGCUUGCCAUCAACCCCCAAUUUUUCUAUGGUUGACCUCGGAUCAGGUAGGGAUACCCGCUGAACUUAAGCAUAUCAAUAAGCGGAGGA